rnacentral:rRNA from 1 species
UACGUAGGGGGCGAGCGUUGUCCGGAAUCACUGGGCGUAAAGGGCGCGUAGGCGGCUUGAGAAGUCGCAGGUGAAAUCCCGUGGCUCAACCGUGGAACUGCCUGCGAAACCAUCGGGCUUGAGGACAGGAGAGGGAAGCGGAAUUCCUGGUGUAGCGGUGAAAUGCGUAGAUAUCAGGAGGAACACCAGUGGCGAAGGCGGCUUUCUGGCCUGGUCCUGACGCUGAGGCGCGAAAGCUAGGGGAG